CCGCGUCUGGGCUGCCAUCAGGGACAAGUACCGGUCCGAGGCACUGCCCACCGACCUUCCAGCACCUUCUGCCCCUGACUUGACGGAGCCCAAGGAGGAGCAGCCACCAGUGCCCUCGCCGCCUACAGAGGAGGAGGAGGAGGAGGAGGAAGAAGAGGAGGCUGAAGAAGAGGAGGAGGAGGAGGAUUCCGAGGUGCAGGGGGAGCAGCCCAAGGUCCGUGUUUGGGGGAGAAGUGGAGACAGAGAGGGUGGGGGAAGGGCUACUCACUGACCCUGCCCCUUCCCCAGGAGGCCCCACCGCCACUGUCACCCCCGCAGCCGGCCAGCCCUGCCGAGGAAGACAAAAUGCCGCCCUACGACGAGCAGACACAGGCCUUCAUCGAUGCUGCCCAGGAGGCCCGCAACAAGUUCGAGGAGGCCGAGCGGUCGCUGAAGGACAUGGAGGAGUCCAUCAGGUAGCGGGGGUUGAGGAGCGGGGACACCUGUCCCACAGUGCCCGCUCCCUGGCUCCCAGGGGAGCUGGUGAUGGGGAAUCACUGAGGCAACCACAGGCUGGGCCUGGUCCCUGC
rnacentral:sRNA from 1 species